CCUACGGGAGGCAGCAGUGAGGAAUAUUGGUCAAUGGACGAGAGUCUGAACCAGCCAAGUAGCGUGAAGGAUGACUGCCCUAUGGGUUGUAAACUUCUUUUAUAUGGGAAUAAAAUGUUCCACGUGUGCGUUUUUGUAUGUACCAUAUGAAUAAGGAUCGGCUAACUCCGUGCCAGCAGCCGCGGUAAUACGGAGGAUCCGAGCGUUAUCCGGAUUUAUUGGGUUUAAAGGGAGCGUAGGUGGAUUGGUAAGUCAGUUGUGAAAGUUUGCGGCUCAACCGUAAAAUUGCAGUUGAAACUGGCAGUCUUGAGUACAGUAGAGGUAGGCGGAAUUCGUGGUGUAGCGGUGAAAUGCUUAGAUAUCACGAAGAACUCCGAUUGCGAAGGCAGCUCACUAAACUGCAACUGACACUGAGGCUCGAAAGUGUGGGUAUCAAACAGGAUUAGAUACCCUUGUAGUC
rnacentral:rRNA from 1 species